ensembl:lncRNA
GACAAGUCAGUCCACAGCAGCAGCCACCGUCGCCGCCAAAAAGGGCUCCAUGCUACAGGCAGCCGCUUUGCGCACUCAGCCUUCCACGUCAGCACAAAUAGAAGUCACCCAACAUUCGCUGGCCUCUGCAUUCCCGGCUCCAGCAAUGGGACACCUCCCAUGUUGACUCCUUUGAUUGGUGCACAGCUGCAGAGGAUAAAGCCGAUUGUCAACUGGCCGAAACUCCUGAUUGUCAUCCAUUCUCAUCUCUUGGCAACAUUUAAGCCCUGUUCCUGCAGGCCUUGGAUGCCAGUUCCUACAGUCAUUUGAGCUGGACCCCAGUAUCCACACAGUCGAGAUUGCCUGCUGCCUGGAUGUCGGAACACCGAACACCACACCGUUGGCCAGCUGGGUCCCUUAUAUUGAACUGAGAGCAUAUUCAAUAAACCUGUUGUUCAUCCAAUACCCCUGCUCUGUGGUUGCUUUUGGAU